rnacentral:rRNA from 1 species
AUUGAACGCUGGCGGAAUGCUUUACACAUGCAAGUCGAACGGCAGCACGGGGGCAACCCUGGUGGCGAGUGGCGAACGGGUGAGUAAUACAUCGGAACGUGCCCAGUCGUGGGGGAUAACGUAGCGAAAGCUACGCUAAUACCGCAUACGAUCUCUGGAUGAAAGCGGGGGACCGCAAGGCCUCGCGCGAUUGGAGCGGCCAAUGGCAGAUUAGCUAGUUGGUGAGGUAACGGCUUACCAAGGCGACGAUCUGUAGCGGGUCUGAGAGGAUGAUCCGCCACACUGGAACUGAGACACGGUCCAGACUCCUACGGGAGGCAGCAGUGGGGAAUUUUGGACAAUGGGCGCAAGCCUGAUCCAGCCAUGCCGCGUGAGUGAAGAAGGCC